rnacentral:tRNA from 1 species
GCCCGGAUGGCGGAACUGGUAGACGCGCCGGACUCAAAAUCCGGUUCUGGCAACAGAGUGUGGGUUCGAUUCCCUCUCCGGGCA